ACGACCUUACUUGAACAUGACCUGUUCUAUAGGAUCGUACUGCCAAAUCUAGCAGGACUACAUGCCUCUCGUAAGGCC
rnacentral:snoRNA from 1 species